rnacentral:rRNA from 2 species
UUUUCGGAUCGCGGCGACGCCGGCGGUUCGCCGCCGGUGACGUUGUGAGAAGUUCAUUAAACCUUAUCAUUUAGAGGAAGGAGAAGUCGUAACAAGGUUUCCGUAGGUGAACCUGCGGAAGGAUCAUUG